UCUUGGCUCAGACAGUAAAGUAUCUGCCUGCAAUGCAGGAGACCCAGGUUGGAUUCCUGGGUCAGGAA
rnacentral:tRNA from 1 species